GGGGAAUAUUGGGCAAUGGGCGCAAGCCUGACCCAGCAACGCCGCGUGAAGGAAGAAGGCUUUCGGGUUGUAAACUUCUUUUAACAGGGACGAAGUAAGUGACGGUACCUGUUGAAUAAGCCACGGCUAACUACGUGCCAGCAGCCGCGGUAAUACGUAGGUGGCAAGCGUUAUCCGGAUUUACUGGGUGUAAAGGGCGUGUAGGCGGGACUGCAAGUCCGUGGUAAAAGACUGAAGCUCAACUUCAGGAGGCCGCGGAAACUGGACGGCUAGAGUGCAGGAGAGGGUAGUGGAAUUCCAUGUGUAGCGGUAAAAUGCGUAGAUAUAUGGAGGAACACCAGUGGCGAAAGCGGCUAUCUGGCCUGUAACUGACGCUCAUGCACGAAAGCGUGGGGAGCAAAUA
rnacentral:rRNA from 1 species